rnacentral:rRNA from 1 species
AUUAAUAGGCGGAGGAAAAGAAACUAACCAGGAUUCCCCAAGUAGCGGCGAGCGAACAGGGAGAAGCCCAGCACGGAAUCCCACGCGUUGACGCGUAGGGAGAUGUCGUGUGUGGGAGGUUCCAUCAUCCCGGGGAUCGGCGGCGAGUCCAAGUCUCCCUUGAACGGGGCCACAGCUCGUAGAGGGUGCCAGGCCCGUAGAGACCGCAGCCCUUCCCGGGAGGAGCUCUCCUCAGAGUCGUGUUCCUUGAGAGUGGAGCACCAAGUGGGUGGUAAACUCCAUCUAAGGCUAAAUACGACCACGAGACCGAUAGCGAACAAGUACCGUGAGGGAAAGUUGAAAAGAACUUUGAAGAGAGAGUUCAACAGUACGUGAAACUGUUCAGGGGUAAACGGGAGAGACCCGAAAGAUCUAAGGGGAGACUCAAUCACCCACGCAACGACGGGCCACGGUGCAUUCCGGAUGUCUCCGGCCGCCGGUCAUGCCGCAAGGCGUGCGCCGGUUCGCGUUGGAGGCACCGGUUGUCCGUCGGUAACAUAUCCGUCUGCGGCGGGAUGCAAUUCUUCCCUGGAGACGUCGCGACCCGUUGGAGUGCCGGUCUAAGGCCCGGGAUGGAGCCCGAGGGAAUCGCCGCGGAAACGCGGAUCAACGGUUCCCCGGACCCCGGUUUCCCGGCCGGCGUCCGACGGUAGUCUUACGGAGAAGGCCCGCUCACUCGAGCGAGCGUCCGGCCUGUGGGGCAAGCUCUUCGGUGGCGUCGUGGUGCCGUGGCGUCUGCCACGUCCCCGACCCCCGCGAGGCUGUUGGCCCCCGGUGUCCUCGGACGGUAGCCGUCUCCCGUCAGCGGCGCUUAUGCUUUGGGUGCUCUCCCGACCCGUCUUGAAACACGGACCAAGGAGUCUAACAUGUGCGCGAGUCAAUGGGAUUAACUAAACCCAGAGGCGCAGUGAAAGCGGGGCGGACCCUUCGCGGCCGCCUUGGGAGGAUGGCUCUCCCUCGGGGGAGCCCGCACUCCCGGGGCGCCUCGGCCUAGCCGCAGGCGCACCCUGAGCGUACACGUUGGGACCCGAAAGAUGGUGAACUAUGCCUGGCCAGGACGAAGUCAGGGGAAACCCUGAUGGAGGUCCGCAGCGAUUCUGACGUGCAAAUCGAUCGUCAGAGCUGGGUAUAGGGGCGAAAGACUAAUCGAACCAUCUAGUAGCUGGUUCCCUCCGAAGUUUCCCUCAGGAUAGCUGGCGUCCAUUUGGACUGGGACGAGUCUCAUCCGGUAAAGCGAAUGAUUAGAGGCCUUGGGGCCGAAACGACCUCAACCUAUUCUCAAACUUUAAAUGGGUGAGAUCUCCGGCUUGCUUGAUUGAAGCCGAGAGAGCCACCGGAUCAGGGUGCCAAGUGGGCCAUUUUUGGUAAGCAGAACUGGCGCUGUGGGAUGAACCAAACGUCGGGUUAAGGCGCCUAAACCGGAGCUCAUGGGAAACCAUGAAAGGCGUUGGUUGCUUAAGACAGCAGGACGGUGGCCAUGGAAGUCGGAAGCCGCUAAGGAGUGUGUAACAACUCACCUGCCGAAGCAACUAGCCCUGAAAAUGGAUGGCGCUAAAGCUCCGUGCCUAUACCCGACCGCCGGCAGGCAAGGGCGUCGCGGCUUGUCCGCGGCGCGUGAAGCCCCGGUGAGUAGGAGGGCGCGGCGGUGAGCGCGGAAGGGUCUGGGCGUGAGCCUGCCUGGAGCCGCCGCCGGUGCAGAUCUUGGUGGUAGUAGCAAAUACUCAAGCGAGGGCCUUGAGGGCUGAUGUGGAGAAGGGUUUCGUGUGAACAGCCGUUGCACACGAGUCAGUCGAUCCUAAGCCCUAGGAGAAAUCCGAUGUUGAUGAGGGGUGCUUACUUACGUAACGUACCUCCUUCGGGCGAAAGGGAAUCCGGUUCCUAUUCCGGAACCCGGCAGCGGAACCGAACCGUCGGGCCCUCGCAAGAGAAGCUCGUCGGGGUAACCCAAAAGGACCCGGAGACGCCGUCGGGAGACCCGGGCAGAGUUUUCUGUUCUGCAUAAGCGUUCGAGUUCCCUGGAAUCCUCUAGCAGGGAGAUAGGGUUUGGAACGCGAAGAGCACCGCAGUUGCGGCGGUGUCUGGGUCGUCCCCUCGGACCUUGAAAAUCCGGGAGAGGGCUACGCGGAGGUGUCGCGCCGGCUCGUACCCAUAUCCGCAGCAGGUCUCCAAGGUGAAGAGCCUCUAGUCGAUAGACUAAUGUAGGUAAGGGAAGUCGGCAAAUUGGAUCCGU